AGCCAGGACUACCACUGACUGUCUUCUAAGGAGCUGUUGCUUCCCUGCAGUGGAGAUCGCUAUUGCUUCUGAGAGCAGAUGGAGCUGAGCAGUGGAUGGAAAAUCCUAUCAGAUGUGUUGCAAGGAAAAGAAAUGAAAUAUGAGAGUGCUUUGAAACUGUAAACUGCAAGGUAAAUAGUGCAGCAAGUUGUUAUGGAUUGGAUUGGGUUUCCCCAAAGUUCCUAUGCUGAAGCUCCAGCCCCCAAUGUGACUGUAUUUGGAGGCGGGCUUUAAAAAAGAGGAAAGACCACGUGAGGAUGCAGUGAGAAGACAGCCCAGCCAUUUGCAGGCCAGGAAGAGAGGCCUCACCAGGAACCAGCCCUGCUGGCACCUUGAUCUUGGACCUCCAGCCUCCAAACUGACAAAAUAAAUUUCUGCUGUU